rnacentral:rRNA from 1 species
AUACGGAGGGUGCAAGCGUUAUUCGGAAUCACUGGGCGUAAAGGACGCGUAGGCGGGUUUGUAAGUCAGGUGUGAAAUCCUACAGCUUAACUGUAGAACUGCACUUGAAACUACAGACCUAGAGUAUGGGAGGGGCAGAUGGAAUUAGUGGUGUAGGGGUAAAAUCCGUAGAUAUCACUAGGAAUACCGAAAGCGAAGGCGAUCUGCUGGAACAUAACUGACGCUAAGGCGUGAAAGCGUGGGGAGCAAACAGGAUUAGAAACCCCUGUAGUCC